rnacentral:rRNA from 1 species
UACGAAGGGGGCGAGCGUUGUUCGGAUUUACUGGGCGUAAAGGGCGCGCAGGCGGCGCAUUUUGUCAGGCGUGAAAGCCCCGGGCUUAACCUGGGAACUGCGUUUGAUACGGAUGGGCUAGAGUUCGGGAGAGGAGAGUGGAAUUCCCAGUGUAGAGGUGAAAUUCGUAGAUAUUGGGAAGAACACCGGUGGCGAAGGCGGCUCUCUGGACCGAGACUGACGCUGAGACGCGAAAGCGUGGGGAGCAAACAGG